rnacentral:rRNA from 1 species
UACGGAGGGUGCAAGCGUUGUUCGGAAUCAUUGGGCGUAAAGCGCGUGUAGGCGGCCAAAUAAGUCUGGUGUGAAAGCCCGGGGCUUAACCUCGGAAGUGCACUGGAUACUGUUUGGCUAGAGGACGAGAGAGGGAAGUGGAAUUCCUGGUGUAGGGGUGAAAUCCGUAGAUAUCAGGAGGAACAUCGGUGGCGAAGGCGACUUCCUGGCUCGUUUCUGACGCUCAGACGCGAAAGCGUGGGGAGCAAACAGG